GGCAGUGUGGUGUAGUGGUUAGUGUGUAAGACUAGGACUUGGAAGACCAGGGUUCAAAUCCCUCUAUUCAGCCU